ensembl:lncRNA
CCCCUUUCAGCUGAUCUUCCUCAGAUCCGUGUGUGUGUGUGUGUGUGUGUGUGUGUGUGUGUGUGUGUGUGUGUGUGUGUGUGUGUGUGUGUGUGUUUGUGUGUGUGUGAGGGGAUGUAAGAGCCUUAAGGGAAAAUGUAAGUGUGCUACAGUAAUGAGACUAUAAGACUAAGGGUGGAUGCAUUACUCUCUCUUUCUCUCUCUCUCUCUCUCUCUCUCUCUCUCUCUCUCUCCCUCUCUCUCUCUCUCUCUCUCUCUCUCCCUCUCUCUCUCGCACUCUCUAUGAGUGCGUGUUCAUAUGUGCGCGUGCACAUGUGAACUGUAACAUAAUCAGUGAACAGCUGGAUGUGUCCUGACUGUAGCCAUCUUAAGCUCUUUCCAUAACCAAUUCAUCUCUGGCAGCUCUGCCCCACCCUCAGCCAGCUCUAUAACCUGAGAACCUCUUAUAGUACCGAUGCACGCCAGCCAAGUGAAGUUCUAUUACCUGACUAUGAGAACCUCUUACAGUACUGAUGCACGCCAGCCAAGUGAAGUUCUAUUACCUGACUAUGAGAACCUCUUACAGUACUGAUGCACGCCAGCCACGUGAAGUUCUAUUACCUGACUAUAAGAACCUCUUACAGUACUGAUGAACGCCAGCCAAGUGAAGUUCUGUGUUCCAUUCAUUUCUGUUGGAGGCAGGUGAUCAUCAGGCAGAUAAAUUAAUUGGGUAAAGCGAGCAAAAUAUUUAGGGAAAGUUUAAACCUAUGCAAAUAAGGAGCAAAUUUCGCCACCACCGGCCAAUCAGAUAGUUUGUUGUCGUCUUUAAAGGUUUGAAAAUUGCAGGACUAUGGCGUCGUUUGGUCGUUUUAUUUGCUCAAAAGAACAGCUUUGAAGACCUUGUAAGGGGUUGUGGUUGUUCCUGGUAUGUUAUAUAUUUAAUCCUGGUCUUACUUUAACAGAAUGACAGUUCUGAUAUAAAGACAAGUGACUGGAUAGCUAGCCUAUUAGCUGGCUAGCUUGCUAACUAGUUUGCUAGUUCGGUCGGUCUGUUACACCAUUUCCACACGCCACAACACGCCCACUUAAAGCGAAGCGAGGGUUUUGCUUCGCUGGCAUGCGUCAGUGCCGUUAAGCUCAGAGAUCCGCCACUUUGAGGUCAUAUCAUAUAUGGGCCAGAUUCAGUCUACAGGAUUCUCAGAUUCAUGGAAAACCUAGAAAAGCCAUGGAAUUUUUAAAUCCCAUUUUCCAGAAUGGGAAAUGUCAAGAAAUUCAGAAAAAUUCCAAGUUUUGGAAAAACAAUUUUGUUUGGUUGUAUGCAAGUCUAAUGACUAAUUAAUUAUGUUGUUGUCCUCUUCCACGUGUUGUGUGAAUAUCCGCAGCGUGUUUCCACUUUAGUUGACAGAGCCUCAUAGAAAAGGCAAAGAACAAGGACAAAAGGUUGUUUGAUUUGUAUUCAGUAAUUAGGCCCAAUAUGUGUGCUGUAAAACACCGAUUUGUGUACUUGGAAUUUGUGAAAGAUCAUGGAGAUUUCAUUAAACGUCCUUAAAAAGUCAAGUUUUGAAAUGUCAUUGAAAAUGGGCUCAAUCUGCUCAAGAUCCAUUCCAGUCAUCUGCUGUGGGAGAAAUCUCUUCACACACGUGUACCAGAAUCCUUCAGCCAUAGCAGGUCUAGUCAUCAAUAGAGACCAACAGCUCUAGUCAUCAAUAGAGACCAACAGGUCUAGUCAUCAAUAGAGACCAACAGCUCUAGUCAUCAAUAGAGACCAACAGCUCUAGUCAUCAAUAGAGACCAACAGCUCUAGUCAUCAAUAGAGACCAACAGGUCUAGUCAUCAAUAGAGACCAACAGCUCUAGUCAUCAAUAGAGACCAACAGCUCUAGUCCUCAAUAGAGACCAACAGCUCUAGUCCUCAAUAGAGACCAACAGCUCUAGUCAUCAAUAGAGACCAACAGCUCUAGUCCUCAAUAGAGACCAACAGUACUAGUCUUCAACCCUAGCAGGUCUAGUCCUCAAUAGAGACCAACACCACGUCUGAGGAAGGCAAGGAGACCAGUAACUAAACUACACUGUAUGUAACACUGGUAGAUAUUCAUAGAAGUCAUGGCCAGGCCUAAACACAUCUCAAAGUCCAGGAAAGAGCUGAGUUGCCAAUAAGGGAUCAGAUAAAUGCAAGAUUUUCAGAUAUAAAAUGUCCUUCACACCUUCUAACGACAUUUACAGAGAUGACCGAAGAUGUGCUAUUCAGUGUGUGUGUGUGUGUGUGUGUGUGUGUGUGUGUGUGUGUGUGUGUGUGUGAAACAGGGAGAGAGACAUUUUGACAUUUAAAACCCCUUUAUUGAACCACAUGUGUCACUGACUCCUAAAAAGACUACUAUGUAUGCAGUACCCCACCUA